rnacentral:rRNA from 1 species
GACGAACGCUGGCGGCGUGCCUAAUACAUGCAAGUAGAACGCUGAAGAGAGGAGCUUGCUCUUCUUGGAUGAGUUGCGAACGGGUGAGUAACGCGUAGGUAACCUGCCUUGUGGCGGGGGAUAACUAUUGGAAACGAUAGCUAAUACCGCAUAACAAUGGAUGACACAUGUCAUUUAUUUGAAAGGGGCAAUUGCUCCACUACAAGAUGGACCUGCGUUGUAUUAGCUAGUAGGUGAGGUAAUGGCUCACCUAGGCGACGAUACAUAGCCGACCUGAGAGGGUGAUCGGCCACACUGGGACUGAGACACGGCCCAGACUCCUACGGGAGGCAGCAGUAGGGAAUCUUCGGCAAUGGGGGCAACCCUGACCGAGCAACGCCGCGUGAGUGAAGAAGGUUUUCGGAUCGUAAAGCUCUGUUGUAAGUCAAGAACGGGUGUGAGAGUGGAAAGUUCACACUGUGACGGUAGCUUACCAGAAAGGGACGGCUAACUACGUGCCAGCAGCCGCGGUAAUACGUAGGUCCCGAGCGUUGUCCGGAUUUAUUGGGCGUAAAGCGAGCGCAGGCGGUUUGAUAAGUCUGAAGUUAAAGGCUGUGGCUCAACCAUAGUUCGCUUUGGAAACUGUCAAACUUGAGUGCAGAAGGGGAGAGUGGAAUUCCAUGUGUAGCGGUGAAAUGCGUAGAUAUAUGGAGGAACACCGGUGGCGAAAGCGGCUCUCUGGUCUGUAACUGACGCUGAGGCUCGAAAGCGUGGGGAGCGAACAGGAUUAGAUACCCUGGUAGUCCACGCCGUAAACGAUGAGUGCUAGGUGUUGGAUCCUUUCCGGGAUUCAGUGCCGCAGCUAACGCAUUAAGCACUCCGCCUGGGGAGUACGACCGCAAGGUUGAAACUCAAAGGAAUUGACGGGGGCCCGCACAAGCGGUGGAGCAUGUGGUUUAAUUCGAAGCAACGCGAAGAACCUUACCAGGUCUUGACAUCCCGAUGCUAUUUCUAGAGAUAGAAAGUUACUUCGGUACAUCGGUGACAGGUGGUGCAUGGUUGUCGUCAGCUCGUGUCGUGAGAUGUUGGGUUAAGUCCCGCAACGAGCGCAACCCCUAUUGUUAGUUGCCAUCAUUCAGUUGGGCACUCUAGCGAGACUGCCGGUAAUAAACCGGAGGAAGGUGGGGAUGACGUCAAAUCAUCAUGCCCCUUAUGACCUGGGCUACACACGUGCUACAAUGGUUGGUACAACGAGUUGCGAGUCGGUGACGGCGAGCUAAUCUCUUAAAGCCAAUCUCAGUUCGGAUUGUAGGCUGCAACUCGCCUACAUGAAGUCGGAAUCGCUAGUAAUCGCGGAUCAGCACGCCGCGGUGAAUACGUUCCCGGGCCU